rnacentral:tRNA from 2 species
CCCGUAGUUCAGUUGGAUAGAAUACGAGUUUCCUAAACUUGGGGUCGGAGGUUCGAAUCCUUCCGGGCACGCCA